GCGGGUGCGUGGGACAGCGAGAGGAGAACACGUGCUUGAGAUAAAGAGAGAAAGGCUCGUGAAUUAUCAGAAAUCACUUUUCCUGUCUUUCCUUUUUUAUUUGACUGAAGCUGAGCACUUUUGGUUAAAAAAAAAAAAAAGGAAAAAAAAAAAAAACCAUUCCUGCCAUGGAGAACACCACCACAUUGUCCUGCAGAAACAUUUCUGAUGGUGAUGGUUACACUUACAAAGUGCCGUCUUAUAUACCAUCUGCUCUACUGCAGGACGAGGACUGUGAGCAAGAGUGGAAAAAUAAGGCAGGGGAGUUUUUGUCAGAUGGACAUCAUCAUGCAAAUAAAACUGAGCACCCACUGGUUCGUAAUGAAACCAUAAAAAACAUCAAAGUCUCUGAAUGCAUCGAGCUUCACCAUUCUGUGACCUGUCAUGGAUCGAGUCAAAAGUUUAUACACACUUACCAAGUGAUCAAUGACACCGCCCUGAGUUUUGAGCAGCAAUCCAAUAGCACCACCACCAACACCACCAUCAUCUCUGUUGUCGUUCCCCUUAUUCUGAUUGUAGUCCUGAUUGUAGGCCUACAUAAAACGGUACACUACAUAAAAAGGUAUAACAAGAACAAGAGAAGCUGUGUCAAAAGUAGUCAUAUCAAUGAAGAAGCUCAACCAGCCCAAGCCAUGGAAUUGGUGAGCACCCAGAGCACUCCAAGAGCAUAUGAAGAUUAAGCUUCUCCCUCCGGUCUGAUUCUGCCUUUUCUAUAAUCGUACUUAUAUAUCUGCUUUUGCACUUUCACUACUCUUUUUUUUUUUGUGUGCAUUUUUUAACAUUUUAAAAAUAUUAAAUAGAUAAACAGAGACCUUGGAAUUAUAGGAUUCUUACAAGAUACAAGUGUUUUAAUCAUGCCAAAGCAGACAGAACAAUUUUUAUACUUCACACAUUUUGUUAUACUUUGUAGCAGUAUUUUGGUGUAAAAUAUAUUGUAUAUGUAUAUUAGACAUACAAAAUAACAUCUUUUAUAACAUCAACUCAUUUUUGCCAAUGAAAGGGAACAUAAAACAUUAUGCUUUCAACUCGAGGUUGCAUAUUGUACUAACUCCAACCAGCAAAAGCCAAAGAAUUCCUCCUAACUUGAAACUGGGGUGGUCUCCUCAACAACCAAUUCCUUUCCUGUUUACAGUGAUUGAUCUUUUACUGUAGAUCAAUCAUGAUAUAGAAAUAUCUGCUUUUUAAAUCUAGAUCACUGUCUGUACGAUUUGUGGAGAAAACUAUACAUCACUCAUCACAGCUAGCUGACUAACUUGGUGCAAACUUUGUCGAACAUUCCAAGGUGGAAAAUGACGCCAUUCCAGCCAGAAAAUUAUCAUAAAGUCGAAUGCGUAGUAUAAUUCCAAGGUCUUGAAAUGUAGAUGAGCCAGUAUUAAAAAACACUUUGUUUCGUAUUUAUGUUUAAAUGGUAAAAUACUUCUGCACAUUCCUUUUUUAUUAUUUUUUUUUAAAAAAGUGAUUUUCAAUAUACUGUACCAAAAUAGACCCCAAAAUUCUCAUGAUUCAAGCUGACUUGUAAGAAGAGUGAAAAGUAAACCGGUAUUUUAUAAAAAGAUGUAUUGCUGCAUCAUUAACACUGGCUAUAGGUUAUACAGAAGAGACUGCUAUAACUGAGCUAUUAGUCAAGUUUAAUUCAGUAUUUGAGAAAAAAAAUCAGGCUGCCCCUUCAUUUUAUUAAAAACACUUUUUAUAGUACUGUGAAUUAAAAUGUUGCACAAAACAAUGAAGACCAAAUAACUUUUAUUAAAUCCUAAAGUAAUAUAAAAUACAGUAUUAAUAAUCAAAGAUUGUUAAAUUUGUUUUCUUAUUGUAUGUUAUUUAUCACUUCAUGCUGCCAUUUAAAGAAUGUAUUUGUUUUAAACAGCUAACCACUCUGAAUGUAGCAUUAAAGCAGGGGUGUCAAACAUGCCACCUGUAGGACUUGACCAGCCCUAUAGAGUUAUUUGUAAUCCAACCCAGCAAAUGAAUUUAGGAACCGUAAUAUUUUUAUGCACAUUUAUUUCUUUUUAAUGAAUUGCAGAGUGCACACAAUGUACUUUUCCACUAAAUUGGUCAAUAACCAACUUUUUCUGGCCCAUCAGACUAAGUAUAAUCCAUUAUGUAAGAUGCCCCUGAUUUAAAGCGUUAAUUUGUACACAUGCAAUACUUCUUUUUUUUUUCUUAAAAUAUUUCUUUAUCUUAUUUUCUUUAACACUCUCACUUGAUUCGGAAUCUAAAUGUCUAUCAAGCUUCUCUGUGACUGUACAAUAAAAUAUCUGGCCUUGCUGAGUGCCUUUCUUUUAUAUAUGUAGCCUGAACUGGAGAACUCUAUAUCUUGCGUGAAUGUAGCUGUUGCUGUAGAAUGAGACAAUCUGAAUAAACAUUUCUCUUUUAAUACCACAGUACUGUUUCAUUCUGAAUUGUGAUUGGCCACAAUGUGUUGAUUGAUUUUUCUUUAAGAGCAGCUCUGGCAGUAGUGCAGCUGCAAAUUGGUUCAUGUCUAGUUUGGUCUCUCAUGGAAAAAUUACAAUAUGAUGCCAUAUUGUUACACCCUUAAACACUGUAUAUGACUUAACGUACCUUGUGUUUCUUUUGCUGUCUGUUUCAGAAAGUUCCUACAAAGCACAUGUCAGAAUGAUAACAUGGUCAGUACUACUGAGUGUCCAAUACAGAAAACAAUGGGAAUUUAAUGGCUACUGGUACAGUGCUGCUAGAAAGUUUGUGAACCCUUUACAGGUUUCUGUAUUUCUGCAUAACUUUUACCAGAAAUGUGAUCAGAUCUGGAGGACACCUCAUUUCCUCCAAACAUGGUUUUAGUCUAUUGGCAUAUAGAGACGCUAAUCAUUUGUAAUCAGAGUUAAGCAGCGUAAUUGGGUGCCAAUUAUCCAAGUGCAAAAUGUCUUAGGUUUUGGAAGUAGAGUAAUUACUCCCUCUUUCAUAGAUUCUGUAAGUUCUCCAUUUGUAGCACAUUCAUUAAACACAUUUAAAAUAAACUCUAUCAUCUUCCAAUAAAACUCAAAAGGCAACCAAUCAGGUCCUGGGCUUUUAUUAAAAGGAUUUUUUUAAUGAUAUCAUCUAGUUCUUUCAAUGGCAUCUCCUCUUCACGAAGGAUUUAUUUAUACUUAUACAAGGAGUAAAGGGUUGUAUCUUGCUAAAAGAUCACUCGAAU
ensembl:lncRNA